rnacentral:tRNA from 1 species
UCCCUGGUGGCUUAGCAGAUUAAGGUUCUGGCAUUGUCACUGCAGUGGCACGGGUUCGAUCCCUGGCCAGGGAA